UGGUAUAUUUCUGAGGGUCAGACGGUAGAUUUCAUCGAUAAGUCCGCGGUCACACUGAUACUAUUCGCGACUACUAUAGAAAACAUGAAAUUUCCUGUCGCCGACUGCUGUAUACAAAUCCACCCAGGGACUGAAAGCGCAAUCACCAAGUACAUCACACACAACCGCGGGGGGUCGCGCGCACUUACGUGUCGUCCACAAAUAUAAAAAAGUGCAUGCUGCACCCAUGUCGACGGUGGAGGUGCCUGGAAAGCCUGGUCAAGGAUCUUGAGAAAGUGCCACUUAUUCUUUGGAAAUGUGUUUUAGCGUUCUUUCUAAGUGUCCAGUGGCUUUGCGGGGGAUUCAAUGACCAGGUUUUGAUUAUAUGUAUUUAUUUGUUUCCAACUUGUUGCUCUGCAACAUACAUAUGUACAUAUAGGUGAACACAGGAAUAUUGGAAUCGUUUUUAGCGUUGUGUGUUUGUGUAUGUGUGUUGGAGCGACGUGAAUCGAACAUAAAUUGUGUAAAUUUCCCCCGGA